rnacentral:rRNA from 1 species
ACGGAAGGCAGCAGUGGGGAAUCUUGCGCAAUGGGCGAAAGCCUGACGCAGCAACGCCGCGUGGGGGACGAAGGCCUUCGGGUUGUAAACCCCUUUCAGCAGGGACGAAAAUGACGGUACCUGCAGAAGAAGCCCCGGCCAACUACGUGCCAGCAGCCGCGGUAAUACGUAGGGGGCGAGCGUUGUCCGGAUUUAUUGGGCGUAAAGAGCUCGUAGGCGGUUUGGCAAGUCGGGUGUGAAAACUCCGGGCUCAACUCGGAGACGCCACUCGAUACUGCCAUGACUUGAGUCCGGUAGGGGAGUGCGGAAUUCCUGGUGUAGCGGUGAAAUGCGCAGAUAUCAGGAGGAACACCGGUGGCGAAGGCGGCACUCUGGGCCGGUACUGACGCUGAGGAGCGAAAGCGUGGGGAGCGAACAGGAUUAGAUACCCUGGUA